UACGUAGGGGGCAAGCGUUGUCCGGAAUCAUUGGGCGUAUAGAGCGUGUAGGCGGUCCGGUAAGUCAGCUGUGAAAGUCAAGGGCUCAACCCUUGAAAGCCGGUUGAUACUGUCGGGCUAGAGUCCGGAAGAGGCGAGUGGAAUUCCCGGUGUAGCGGUGAAAUGCGCAGAUAUCGGGAGGAACACCAAUGGCGAAGGCAGCUCGCUGGGGCGGUACUGACGCUGAGGAGCGAAAGCAUGGGGAGCGAACAGG
rnacentral:rRNA from 1 species